rnacentral:rRNA from 1 species
UACAUGUGGGGCAAGCGUUGUUCGGAAUUACUGGGCGUAAAGGGCGCGUAGGCGGUUUGUUAAGUCAAACGUGAAAGCCCCGGGCUUAACCUGGGAUGUGCGUUUGAUACUGUCAAGCUAGAGAACGGUAGAGGAAAGUGGAAUUCCUAGUGUAGAGGUGAAAUUCGUAGAUAUUAGGAGGAACACCAGAGGCGAAGGCGGCUUUCUGGACCGAUUCUGACGCUGAGGCGCGAAAGCGUGGGGAGCAAAUGGG